AUGCUCCCUUCGGCAGCAUGUAUACUAAAAUUGGAAUGAUAUAGAAAUUAGCAUGGCCCCUGCGCAAGGAUGACAUGCAAAUUCAUGAAGCAUUCCAUAUUUUU
ensembl:snRNA U6 U6 spliceosomal RNA